UGGUGGAGCGAUUUGUCUGGUUAAUUCCGAUAACGAACGAGACUCUGCCUAUUAAAUAGUUCGCCGAUCCAUCUGUCGGCGUACUACUU
rnacentral:rRNA from 1 species